UACGUAGGGUCCGAGCGUUGUCCGGAUUCAUUGGGCGUAAAGGGCUCGUAGGCGGCUGCUCAAGUCGAAUGUGAAAACUCGAGGCUCAACCUCGAGCCUGCAUUCGAUACAGGGCGGCUAGAGUCUGGUAGGGGGAUCUGGAAUUCCUGGUGUAGCGGUGGAAUGCGCAGAUAUCAGGAGGAACACCGGUGGCGAAGGCGGGAUCCUGGGCCAGUACUGACGCUGAUGAGCGAAAGCGUGGGGAGCAAACAGG
rnacentral:rRNA from 1 species